AGAGGGAAUUUCUGUGCUUUUGAGAAGCUGUUUCCAUUCACUGUCCCAGGACAAGAAAGCAACUGUCUGUGGUGUGGAGCCUUGGGGAGUUCUGUUCCUCUAGAGAAUCCUGAACAAUCCAGCAGGUGGCUUGAAGUAAAGAAGACAGACACCAAAUGAAAGUGGAGAUGCUGCGCCUUCAUCCCGUUCAUGUUACCUUGUGGGACUGUGUGAGGAGUCAGGGUUUCUUUCCAAAAACAGUCGGGUAUCACACUGAAUUUGGAGCUCACUCAUCUUGUUAGACCAGCUAGCCUGCGAAUCCUGCAGAUCCUCCCGUUCCACCCCCCCAGCACAGUGAUUUAUCGACCCAACCUCAUCACUGUGCACUUUAGCGGCUCUUGCUGAUCGCCCGUGUCCUGUGCAGCCGGCAAGUCCCUUCUGAGAUGAUGACAUCUGAGGCUCUAGAGAUUCAGCUGAUGCAUCAAGCCUGCUCUUGCCACUGCUAUUUAUAAACAUAUAUGCUCAAGUGUA